AACGAACGCUGGCGGCAGGCCUAACACAUGCAAGUCGAGCGCGCCUUCGGGUGUUCGGCGGGCGGGUGAGGAACGCGUGGGAAUAUGCCCUUCUCUACGUAAUAGUCCUGGGAAACUGAGGGUAAUACCGUAUACGCCCUUUGGGGGAAAGAUUGAUCGGGGAAGGAUUAGCCCGCGUUGGAUUAGGUAGUUGGUGGGGUAAUGGCCUACCAAGCCGACGAUCCAUAGCUGGUUUGAGAGGAUGAUCAGCCACACUGGGACUGAGACACGGCCCAGAAUCCUACGGGAGGCAGCAGUGGGGAAUCUUAGACAAUGGGGGCAAUCCUGAUCUAGCCAGGCCGCGUGAGUGAUGAAGGCCUUAGGGUUGUAAAGCUAUUUCAGAUGGGAAGAUAAUGACGGUACCAGCAGAAGAAGCCCCGGCUAACUCCGUG
rnacentral:rRNA from 1 species